rnacentral:rRNA from 1 species
GACGUAGGGCGCGAGCGUUGUCCGGAUUUAUUGGGCGUAAAGAGCUCGUAGGCGGCUUGUCGCGUCGUUCGUGAAAACCCGGGGCUCAACUCCGGGCUUGCGGGCGAUACGGGCAGGCUAGAGUUCGGUAGGGGAGACUGGAAUUCCUGGUGUAGCGGUGAAAUGCGCAGAUAUCAGGAGGAACACCGGUGGCGAAGGCGGGUCUCUGGGCAUUUCCUGACGCUGAGGCGCGAAAGCGUGGGGAGCAAACGGG